CGCGUAGGCGGCAUAGUCAGUCAGGCGUGAAAUUCCUGGGCUUAACCUGGGGGCUGCGUUUGAGACGGCUAUGCUAGAGGGUAGGAGAGGGUCGUGGAAUUCCCAGUGUAGAGGUGAAAUUCGUAGAUAUUGGGAAGAACACCGGUGGCGAAGGCGGCGACCUGGCCUAUUACUGACGCUGAGGCGCGACAGCGUGGGGAGCAAACA
rnacentral:rRNA from 1 species